UAUCUGCUUAGCUAGUGCUGCAGCUAUGUGCAGUACUGCACAGUGACUUUAGUGAGCAAAAAGCACACUGCAGUUUACAACUCUGGACCAUUCUGAUCAUGUAGUCUGACCACUUGCUGUACAUUGUAAACUGUUUCUAAUUCACAGGUGAGUUAAGCAGUCAGAUACUAUGGUAAUGGAGGUCUACAACAGGGUAUUUUCUCUGUCCAGGGCUCAGCAGUCCUUCCAGCUCUCUCCAGGAUCCUCCAUAGCCUAUUCAGAAAAAGGACCUUCAGGAGUCUCUGGAGGAUGUUAAACAGGAGCUACUACAUUAGAUAUUUUUAAAUCAGCA